rnacentral:misc_RNA from 1 species
GAUGAAGAACGUAGCGAAAUACGAUAAGUAGUGUGAAUUGCAGAAUUCAGUGAAUCAUCGAAUCUUUGAACGCACAUUGCGCCCCUUGGUAUUCCAUGGGGCAUGCCUGUUCGAGCGUCAUUUGUACCUUCAAGCUCUGCUUGGUGUUGGGUGUUUGUCUCGCCUCUGCGUGUAGACUCGCCUUAAAACAAUUGGCAGCCGGCGUAUUGAUUUCGGAGCGCAGUACAUCUCGCGCUUUGCACUCAUAACGACGACGUCCAAAAGUACAUUUUUACACUCUUGACCUCGGAUCAGGUAGGGAUACCCGCUGAACUUAAGCAUAUCAAUAAGCGGAGGA